UACGUAGGGGGCAAGCGUUGUCCGGAUUUAUUGGGCGUAAAGCGCUCGCAGGUGGUCCGUCGCGUCGUGCGUGAAAGCCCCCGGCUCAACUGGGGAGUGUCGCGCGAUACGGGCGGACUGGAGGCCAGUAGGGGGAUGCGGAAUUCCGGGUGUAGUGGUGGAAUGCGUAGAGAUCCGGAGGAACACCAGCGGCGAAGGCGGCAUCCUGGACUGGUCCUGACACUCAUGAGCGAAAGCGUGGGGAGCGAUCCGG
rnacentral:rRNA from 1 species